GGCAGGAAGUGCGGGUGCGCGCCUGCGCAUAGGUCGGGUCGGCGGUGUCCCCGCUUUCGCUUCUGCUAGAGUCAGUCCUCACGGUGACGCCUUUCCCCAGCUUUUCCGAGUAAUCAAGUAAAAAGUAUGAGCUUCAUCAGUGGAUUGCAGUCUGCUGUUAGAAACCAUGUUUUCUUCCGGUUUAAUUCACGGGCUAACUGGAGAAAAUGUAACACGUCAGCAUCAACCUCACAGGGCUGUCACCAAGUACAAGUUAACCAUAUAGUAAAUAAGUCUGAGGGACUGGGAGUAAAUCAGUGUGAUAGGUGGACUUUUCUGCCUGGAAACUUUCAUUUUUAUAGGACUUUUAACAACAAAAAAACAGGAUACCUCUCAAGUACCAAAAGUAAGGAAAUUUGGAUGAAUGCCAGCAAAUAUACUGUAUGGAAGGACUCUUUUUCAAGACAGCUAUUAAUAAAAAAAGUUACAGCGGUUCCUAGUCUGUUAGUAUUGCAUCCUCGAAGCCCUUCUCCUAUAAGAGCUGUUAGGAAUUUCCACACCUCUCCACGGUUUCAAGCUGCUCCAGUUCCUCUCUUGUUGAUGAUUCUUAAACCAGUGCAGAAGUUACUUGCAAUCAUUGUAGGCAGGGGCAUAAGGAAAUGGUGGCAGGCACUUCCCCCUAACAAGAAGGAACUAUUUAAAGAAAGUAUAAGGAAGAAUAAAUGGAAGCUAGUCCUUGGUUUGAGUAGUUUUGGAUUGCUCUUUGUGGUGUUUUAUUUUACUCACCUGGAAGUAAGUCCAAUCACAGGAAGAAGCAAGCUGCUAUUAUUGGGGAAAGAGCAGUUCAGACUUUUAUCAGAACUGGAAUAUGAAGCAUGGAUGGAAGAAUUUAAAAAUCAUAUGCUGACUGAGAAAGAUGCCCGAUACCUGGCUGUUAAAGAAGUGCUUUGUCAUCUAAUUGAAUCCAAUAAAGAUGUUCCAGGGAUCUCUCAGAUCAAUUGGACUGUUCAUGUGGUUGAUUCCCCAGUUAUUAAUGCCUUUGUGCUUCCAAAUGGACAAAUGUUUGUUUUCACUGGAUUUUUAAAUAGUGUAACGGAUAUUCAUCAACUUUCUUUCCUUCUGGGCCAUGAAAUAGCACAUGCAGUACUUGGACAUGCUGCAGAAAAGGCUGGCAUGGUUCAUUUAUUGGAUUUCCUAGGUAUGAUUUUCCUCACAAUGAUUUGGGCCAUUUGUCCUCGGGAUAGUUUGGCCCUUUUGGGCCAGUGGAUACAGUCUAAAUUGCAAGAGUAUGUGUUUAAUAGACCAUACAGCAGAAAAUUGGAGGCUGAAGCUGACAAAAUUGGACUGUUGCUUGCUGCAAAGGCUUGUGUGGACAUAAGAGCCAGUUCAGUGUUUUGGCAGCAAAUGGAGUUUGUUGAUAGCCUGCAUGGGCAACCCAAGAUGCCAGAAUGGUUAUCUACACACCCUUCUCAUGGCAAUCGAGUUGAGCACUUGGAUAGACUUAUACCUCAGUCUUUCUCAGAUGUUCCCUGGUGAUGUCAAGAUGGCUGCCAGCACUUCCAGGAUUGCAUGCUUUCACAUCCAGCUGGAUGAGUGACUGACUCACACCCCAACUAUUGAAACAAAGCCUUUAACACUAACUGCACCCUGAAGCAAUCGCCAUGGCAGGGGAUGGCAUUAUUUUGAUUGGCUUGGACCUAUCUGGAUCCAACACGAGUUGAGGAUGGGCACGACUCAACACCACCCAAACAGAAUGGCUACUGCGCAGUGGGAGAGAUGCAACCACAGGGCUUAUGAAAUAGAGGAUGCAUGAAUGAAAGAAGUUCCACCAGGAAGAAUGUGUCUGCUUCCUUUCUGCUCAUAUACCAUGUAACGGCCAUGGAGGGGCAUCACUCAGAUAACUCUUCAACAGAGCCCUCUGUGGCGUGCAUAAGUGACAAAUGCUCCAGCUGCUACACCUUCAGGUCCACAGUAACUGGGCAAAGAGUUGGGCAUUAUCCUCACAACUUGGAGAGUUCGGCAUUUUCACUGCUUUUCACAGAUAAGGAAACUAAGGGUCAGCAAAUUUGUAUCUGCAUCAUACAAGGCAAGCUGCGGAUCUGCUGUGAGGCCACUCACUCAGGUAUUCAUGUAUUCAUUCACUCAACACCACCUGCAUUCCAGGCACUACUGCGCCGGGUACUAGGAUACAGUGAUGAAUGGCUCAGACUGAGACCCACCCUAAGGAGCCCCCCAACUAGUGAGGGCUCAGAUGCACAAGCACGGCUACCCUUGCAGUCGCAGACCGGUUCUGGGACAGGUCCUGGUCAACGGGGCUGUGGUGGCACAAGGAAGAAAAACAUCACCAGUGCUGAAUGUCAAGGCUUCCUGGAAGAAUGACCUCCAGAUGAGACCCAGGUGAGGGUAGGUGGAGGGAAGACAGGAGGGUGUUGGCAGGGGAUGAGUAUUAUCUCUUUCAUGAAAGAGCAUCCUCUCUGAGGCCUGAAGAUGAAAGAGCAGAGUGUCAGAGCUUCCCGUGACAGCCAAUAGUGCAUUCUCUUAGAGUAUCCCAUUCAUCUGCCUUCCAGGCUCCAAGUCCUUGGCUUCAGGAACCUCCCCUGGGCCCCCACAUUACUUCCACACAGACCUACCCACCCCAUCUGUGUUAGUCCAGGUCCUCUGAGAAAGCAGAAACCAAGACAGGAUUAAACUUGCAAGAAAUCUGUUAGAGGAAAUGCCUGUGGGAAAAAAUGAAGAGGCCAGGGGAGGCUGGAAAAGCCACAAGUCCACAAUACAGGCCUGACUCCCAGUGAAGGGGCAAAAGAGGGAGAGAGGGAUGCAGGAAGCGUUUUUAGUCAAUCCUAAGGAAACUUUGGCAAGGCUGGGAGUACUGGAGCCACAGUUGCCCAAGAGAGGAGUCCCAAGCCUCCAGGAAGGGCCCUUCCUCAGCAUCCCUGUCCUGCUCCUCCAUUGGCUAGGGGUGGCCAGGGGCAGUCAGGAUGCAGUUUGUGCUGGAUUUCGGAAAGCAGUUGUGCGGACCACUGGGCAGUCAUGCUCCCUGAAGCUCGGUAUCUGUGAGGAAUAUUCUCCAUGGCCAACAUACUGCCCUAGGUUUUUAUAUACCCCCAAAUCUGGCUUCGGCUUCAGCCCUCUUCCUGGGUUCUGCCAAGAUAAACAGUCCUGAGCAAAGGUGGUGUUGGGCAGUGAUGAAGGGCACAGCUUCACAGCAGCCCCCAUUUCUGCCACUGACCAUGGGUGCUGCAGGUAAGGCAUUGAUCCCCCCAGUUUCCUUGUGGGAAAUUGUGGAUAAUAACAGUUCCUGUCUCCUAAGGUUGUUACAGAAGUACUCGAAUUAAAAUGCAUGGUAAGUGCCCAAUAAAUGAUGUCUAUUAUUAUAUUAAUGGAUCCAUUUUUGAUUUAGGGGCCAUUUCAAUGCAAUGGUUUGAUGGGGCUACAUCAAAAUGUAAAAGCCCUGCGCUCCCACCACUGCUGUGUGCCAAAUAUACCUGCAUCUCACUCUGUCCUGAAUGCUUCACCAUCUUUCCAUGAAGCUGCCCCUGACCCUGAGGUUUGGCUUUGGGCCUUCCUCUGAACCUGUAGCCUCCUUUUCCCAUGGAACUUUUUACAAUGAUUAGUUGCAUGUUUUGUUGUUGUUUUCAUUUCUUGAAAUAAACUGAGAAUUCCUGUGGGGGUGA